rnacentral:rRNA from 1 species
UACGUAGGGUGCAAGCGUUAAUCGGAAUACUGGGCGUAAAGCGUGCGCAGGCGGUUGUGUAAGACAGAUGUGAAAUCCCCGGGCUCAACCUGGGAACUGCAUUUGUGACUGCACAGCUGGAGUGCGGCAGAGGGGGAUGGAAUUCCGCGUGUAGCAGUGAAAUGCGUAGAUAUGCGGAGGAACACCGAUGGCGAAGGCAAUCCC